rnacentral:rRNA from 1 species
AACGCAGCGAAGGGCGAUAUGUAGUGUGAAUUGCAGAAUUUUGUGAAUCAUCGAAUUUUUUGAACGCACAUUGCGCCCUUUGGUAUUCCAAAGGGCAUACCUGUUUGAGCGUCAUUUCUUCUCAUUAUACAAUGGUUUUGUGUUUUGUUUGAAUUUAUUUCAAACAUCACAUUAAAUGAAAAGGCAUGUUAGUUGAAUUGUCAAGCGUUUAGGGUUACCAUUUCGUGGAAGCAUUUCAACAAGGGCAGGCCAUAUAUAACCAGCCAAACAAUUUGACCUCAAAUCAGGCAGGAUUACCCGCUGAACUUAA